rnacentral:tRNA from 1 species
AAAGUUGGUCUAUACAAGACA